rnacentral:tRNA from 1 species
GCGCCCGUAGCUCAGCUGGAUAGAGUACCUGACUACGAAUCAGGUGGUCGCGUGUUCGAAUCACGCCGGGCGCA